rnacentral:rRNA from 1 species
UAGGGAAUCUUCGGCAAUGGACGAAAGUCUGACCGAGCAACGCCGCGUGAGUGAAGAAGGUUUUCGGAUCGUAAAACUCUGUUGUUAGAGAAGAACAAGGACGUUAGUAACUGAACGUCCCCUGACGGUAUCUAACCAGAAAGCCACGGCUAACUACGUGCCAGCAGCCGCGGUAAUACGUAGGUGGCAAGCGUUGUCCGGAUUUAUUGGGCGUAAAGCGAGCGCAGGCGGUUUCUUAAGUCUGAUGUGAAAGCCCCCGGCUCAACCGGGGAGGGUCAUUGGAAACUGGGAGACUUGAGUGCAGAAGAGGAGAGUGGAAUUCCAUGUGUAGCGGUGAAAUGCGUAGAUGUAUGGAGGAACACCAGUGGCGAAGGCGGCUCUCUGGUCUGUAACUGACGCUGAGGCUAGAAAGCGUGGGGAGCAAACAGG